rnacentral:rRNA from 1 species
AUGUCUCAUGAGUUUAAUUUCGCCAAGUUUAGUAGACAACCUCGUGAAAUGGAACCACCUACUAAGGAUGAGAUUAUUGGUCUUGCUUCCAUUGCUGUUCCUCCAACUGAUCCAUUAGAACAAUCUUUGCUAGACCAUGAAAAUGAUAUGUUUAUGAAGGAAAGGGAAGAAAUAGAUGAAGUGUUCCUUAAACAGGAACCUAUGCUGAAACAUAACCUUCCUGUUGAAAUUCUUGGGGAUCCCCCUCCACCCAAGGGUGAUCCCAUGUCUGAACUCAAACCAUUACCUGCUAAUCUUAAGUAUGCUUAUCUUGAUGAAAAAGAAAUAUAUCAUGUUAUUAUUAGUGCUAACCUUUCAAAGAAAGAAGAAGAAAGAUUAUUGAAAACUCUGAAGAAGCACCGAGCAGCUAUUGGAUAUACUCUGGGUGAUCUUAAGGGCAUUAGUCCCACAUUAUGUCAACACAAGAUUUCAGUGGAGAAAGAUGCCAAACCAGUUAGAGAUCCUCAAAGAUGA